rnacentral:rRNA from 1 species
UUGGGUCCGGCAUAACCCCGGGAAACUGGGGAUAAUUCCGGAUAACGCACAUAUGCUGGAAUGCUUUAUGCGUAAAAUGGAUUCGUCUGCCCAAGGAUGGGUCUGCGGCCUAUCAGGUAGUAGUGGGUGUAAUGUACCUACUAGCCUACAACGGGUACGGGUUGUGAGAGCAAGAGCCCGAAGAUGGAUUCUGAGACAUGAAUCCAGGCCCUACGGGGCGCAGCAGGCGCGAAAACUUUACAAUGCGGGAAACCGUGAUAAGGGGACACCGAGUGCUAGCAUCAUAUGCUGGCUGUCCAGGUGUGUAAAAUACACUUGUUAGCAAGGGCCGGGCGAGACCGGUGCCAGCCGCCGCGGUAACACCGGCGGCCCGAGUGGUGAUCGUGAUUAUUGGGUCUAAAGGGUCCGUAGCCGGUUUGGUCAGUCCUCCGGGAAAUCUGAUAGCUCAACUAUUAGGCUUUCGGGGGAUACUGCCAGACUUGGAACCGGGAGAGGUAAGAGGUACUACAGGGGUAGGAGUGAAAUCUUGUAAUCCCUGUGGGACCACCUGUGGCGAAGGCGUCUUACCAGAACGGGUUCGACGGUGAGGGACGAAAGCUGGGGGCACGAACCGGAUUAGAUACCCGGGUAGUCCCAGCCGUAAACGAUGCUCGCUAGGUGUCAGGCAUGGCGCGACCGUGUCUGGUGCCGCAGGGAAGCCGUGAAGCGAGCCACCUGGGAAGUACGGCCGCAAGGC